rnacentral:rRNA from 1 species
UACGGGGGGGGCAAGCGUUGUUCGGAAUUACUGGGCGUAAAGGGCGCGUAGGCGGCCUGCUAAGUCGGAUGUGAAAUCCCUCGGCUCAACCGAGGAACUGCAUCCGAUACUGGCGGGCUUGAAUCCGGGAGAGGGGUGUGGAAUUCCAGGUGUAGCGGUGAAAUGCGUAGAUAUCUGGAGGAACACCGGUGGCGAAGGCGGCAUCCUGGACCGGCAUUGACGCUGAGGCGCGAAAGCGUGGGGAGCGAACAGG